rnacentral:rRNA from 1 species
GUGGGGAAUUUUGGACAAUGGGCGCAAGCCUGAUCCAGCGACGCCGCGUGGAGGACGAAGGCCUUCGGGUUGUAAACUCCUUUUGGAGGGGAAGAAUAAAUUGACGGUACCCUCAGAAAAAGCCACGGCUAACUACGUGCCAGCAGCCGCGGUAAUACGUAGGUGGCGAGCGUUACUCGGAAUUACUAGGCGUAAAGCGUAUGUAGGUGGUUAGAUAAGUCUAUGGUGAAAUUUCCUGGCUUAACUGGGAAGGGACAUAGAUACUAUCUGGCUUGAGUGUGGGAGGGGGAGACGGAAUUCCUGGUGUAGCAGUGAAAUGCGUAGAUAUCAGGAGGAACACCGAUGGCGAAAGCAGUCUCCUGGCCCAAUACUGACACUGAGGUACGAAAGCUAGGGUAGCAAACAGGAUUAGAAACCCUGGUAGUCC